UGAGGAAUAUUGGUCAAUGGGCGAGAGCCUGAACCAGCCAAGUAGCGUGCAGGAUGACGGCCCUAUGGGUUGUAAACUGCUUUUAUGUGGGGAUAAAGUGAGCUACGUGUAGUUUAUUGCAGGUACCACAUGAAUAAGGACCGGCUAAUUCCGUGCCAGCAGCCGCGGUAAUACGGAAGGUCCAGGCGUUAUCCGGAUUUAUUGGGUUUAAAGGGAGCGUAGGCCGUGGAUUAAGCGUGUUGUGAAAUGUAGACGCUCAACGUCUGAAUUGCAGCGCGAACUGGUUCACUUGAGUAUGCACAACGUAGGCGGAAUUCGUCGUGUAGCGGUGAAAUGCUUAGAUAUGACGAAGAACUCCGAUUGCGAAGGCAGCUUACGGGAGCACAACUGACGCUGAAGCUCGAAGGUGCGGGUAUCAAACAGGAUUAGAUACCCUGGUAGUCCGCACAGUAAACGAUGGAUGCCCGUUGUUAGUUCACUUAAGAAUUAGCGACCAAGCGAAAGCAUUAAGCAUCCCACCUGGGGAGUACGCCGGCAACGGUG
rnacentral:rRNA from 1 species